CACACGACUCUCGGCAACGGAUAUCUCGGCUCUCGCAUCGAUGAAGAACGUAGCGAAAUGCGAUACCUGGUGUGAAUUGCAGAAUCCCGCGAACCAUCGAGUCUUUGAAGGCAAGUUGCGCCCGAGGCCACUCGGCCGAGGGCACGCCUGCCUGGGCGUCACGC
rnacentral:rRNA from 1 species